rfam:Triticum urartu cultivar G1812 contig1237049, whole genome shotgun sequence.
AUGUUACUCCCUAAAUCCCAAAAUUCUUGUCUUAAAUUUGUCUAGAUACGAAUGUAUCUAAUACUAAAACAUGACUUGAUACAUCCGUAUUUAGACAAAUGUAAGACAAGAAUUUUAGGACGGAGGGAGUAUUUU